rnacentral:lncRNA from 1 species
CUCCUUUCCGCCCUCUCCGCCCUCCGGGUCUCUGUGCCUGGCGCGGAACUCCGGCCUUUUUGUCCCACGGAGUUGGUCGGCGGAUCCGCUGCUACUUUGUAGUGAGUGGCGGGCAGGGCCUCAACCGCCGCUGCAGGAACCCCGACCUGGGCUGACCUUGGGCCGUGGGACGUUGUCUCUGACGUCUCGAAGACAGAGCGAUCUCAGUUCUAAAGCGCAGGAUCUCUGUCUUUGUGCAUCUCCAAAACUUCAACUUUCAACUCUACGGAACUCCCACCGAUUCCUGAAAGAAGACUCUUCUCUGCCAGAGGAGGCUGCUCCAAAGAAUGACAGGAAAAAGCUGCAGAAGAAAGACCUUCGUCCCCACUCCUGGUAUCUGUAAAAAUAAAAAGGGAGGAAUAUUGGCA